GUUCUUCUACGUCUGCCCGCCCAUCUGUUCCGACCCCAGAUUAGAGAAGGAGUUGUCACCGGUGGCAUGCUGGAGGCUUGAGCCUGCAGCAGCAUGGCUCGCCUCACUGUGGCUGGUGGCAGUGAGGUAGAGUACAGCACAGCCAAAGUGGUAGAAAGGUGGCAGAGUAGGCUUUUCUGGCUUUGCCCAUCCAGUUGCUCCGUGCCAGGAGAAGGAGUAGCCACCUGCACAUGCUGGAGGCUGGAGCCAGGGACACCACGGCUUGCCUCGCUGUGGUUGGCGUGGUGGCAGCGAUGGAGACUGCAGAGUGCCAGAGAGGACCUUGGUGCUUGUAGCAUCUACCUACCUCCUGUCGUUGUGAUGAGGACACUUUGAAAACGGGAUGGGAGCUACAUAUGCAAAAGAUGCCAUACAGAUGCUAUAUUAACCUGCAUUAUAGUCCCACAAAUUAAAAUGUAUUCCUUUGAUAAAAA
rnacentral:lncRNA from 1 species